rnacentral:rRNA from 1 species
UACGUAGGGUGCAAGCGUUUGUCCGGAAUUAUUGGGCGUAAAGAGCUCGUAGGCGGUUUGUCGCGUCUGCUGUGAAAACUGGAGGCUCAACCUCCAGCCUGCAGUGGGUACGGGCAGACUAGAGUGCGGUAGGGGGAGAUUGGAAUUCCUGGUGUAGCGGUGGAAUGCGCAGAUAUCAGGAGGAACACCGAUGGCGAAGGCAGAUCUCUGGGCCGUAACUGACGCUGAGGAGCGAAAGCAUGGGGAGCGAACAGG